rnacentral:misc_RNA from 1 species
UGGUUCUGGCAUCGAUGAAGAACGCAGCGAAAUGCGAUACGUAAUGUGAAUUGCAGAAUUCAGUGAAUCAUCGAAUCUUUGAACGCACAUUGCGCCUAAAAGUAUUCUUUUAGGCAUACUUGUUCGAGCGUCGUUUAAUAUCAUAAGACUUUUUUGAUCAAAAGUCUUGCGUUGAUACUUUUUUGAUAAUCAAAAAAUCAAAAAUUAUCUAAAUAUAUUGGCGAAUUUGUUUAAGAAUUAUACAACACAGCGAUAUGUGAUUUUGAUAAAUUCUUUCAUAAAAUAUAUCUGCCAGUCAUAAUUUUAUCUCGACCUCGGAUCAAGUAAGAUUACCCGCUGA